AACCGUGAAAGCGUGGCCUAUC
rnacentral:snRNA from 1 species